AACUACUUCACUUAUUUUACAUCAAGUUAAAACACAAAUAUAUUAUAUCAGGAAAACUGACAAAAUGGGGUGCAAGUUUCCACCUCAACUACCGUAGAUGGCAGUAAAUUCCGUCACAGGCUGAGUGAUUUGGCAUGGAACACGUCACGUACAAGAAACACUGGUUUCAAAUAUCCGGAGGAUCGUAGCAUCCUAGAGGAUUGGCUAAAGCAGCGAGGUUUGCAAACGUUACGUGAAACGAACUCGAUAUUGCUAAAAAUCGAUGACUGACCAUGAGCCACAAUUUAUAUCAUCACGCGUCUGGCGUUUGUAGCAACUUUGUUUCAACGAAACCGUUUCACAUUCAUCAGACAUUACGACUCAUUCCGAACGUGGCACUGGGUUCAAGGAUAAACGUGAUUGGAAGAAUUGGCACGAUGCCCGGUAAAUACUAAUUUUAGCCAAUGCUACUGUCCGUGUCAAUGGGACUUACUAGAUGAAUUGGUGUAUUUGAAUAUCUACACUGGCGACUUUUCGGAGGAGGGUGGAGAACGGAGGUUGUGGCCUUGGCUCAAAGCGAUGAGGCGCACUAUUUUUUGGUCAGGAUCGACAUCACAUUCGAAACAGUUGGCCUUUACAUUGACUCUACUUUGGUUUGCCAAGUCCAAGAGAUCGUUUAUCAAGCAAGGGGGGGUAAUCAUGCAUGCCACACUGACGUGCGGAAGUUUGUAGACAUAUCGUUUUCACCGUGAUUUAAACAUUUUAACAUUUUAAGAUUUUUUUAUUGGUCACUACUAUUCAUCACGUGCAUUUAUUACUUGGAGCAUACUACGCAUAUUGAGGAGCAAGGAACAAAAGAA